rnacentral:rRNA from 1 species
UACGGAGGAUCCAAGCGUUAUCCGGAUUCAUUGGGUUUAAAGGGUGCGUAGGCGGAAUGAUAAGUCAGUGGUGAAAUCCUGCAGCUUAACUGCAGAACUGCCAUUGAUACUGUCAAUCUUGAGUACAUUUGAUGUGGGCGGAAUGUGUCAUGUAGCGGUGAAAUGCUUAGAUAUGACACAGAACACCGAUUGCGAAGGCAGCUCACAAAACUGUAACUGACGCUGAAGGCACG